UGAAUAAUUCACAGCCCUACUCUUUUUAUGUCUGUGUCCUAAUCGGUUGCAUGUUUUCAUACAAAAGGAACUUUACAC